rnacentral:rRNA from 1 species
UGGGGAAUAUUGCACAAUGGGCGAAAGCCUGAUGCAGCGACGCCGCGUGAGGGAUGACGGCCUUCGGGUUGUAAACCUCUUUCAGCAGGGACGAAGCGCAAGUGACGGUACCUGCAGAAGAAGCACCGGCUAACUACGUGCCAGCAGCCGCGGUAAUACGUAGGGUGCAAGCGUUGUCCGGAAUUACUGGGCGUAAAGAGUUCGUAGGCGGUUUGUCGCGUCGUUUGUGAAAACCAGCAGCUCAACUGCUGGCUUGCAGGCGAUACGGGCAGACUUGAGUACUGCAGGGGGGACUGGAAUUCCUGGUGUGGCGGUGAAAUGCGCAGAUAUCAGGAGGAACACCGGUGGCGAAGGCGGGUCUCUGGGCAGUAACUGACGCUGAGGAACGAAAGCGUGGGUAGCGAACAGG